rnacentral:lncRNA from 1 species
CAAAUUAUCAAUACUCAUCUCCUCCUCCACCAGUGCAUGUCUAUCCAUCACCACCCCAUCACCCUGUAUAUAAGUCUCCACCACCACCUAAGAAGCCCUACCACCCUUCACCAACCCCAUAUCAUCCUGUACCCGUUUAUAAAUCUCCACCCCCACCAACUCCAGUUUACAAGUCGCCACCACCACCCAAGAAGCCACAAUAUCCUCCACACAUCCCGGUUUAUAAGUCGCCACCACCACCAACUCCCGUUUACAAGUCACCACCACCACCCAAGAAGCCACACUACCCUCCACACAUCCCUGUUUAUAAGUCACCACCACCGCCCAAGAAGCCAUACUAUCCUCCACAUACUCCAGUUUACAAGUCGCCACCACCACCAACUCCGGUUUACAAGUCACCACCGCCACCCAAGAAACCAUACUAUCCUCCACACAUCCCUGUUUACAAAUCUCCACCACCACCUACUCCAGUUUACAAGUCGCCACCACCACCCAAGAAGCCAUACUACCCUCCACACACCCCGGUUUAUAAGUCUCCACCACCACCAACUCCUGUUUACAAGUCACCACCACCACCCAAGAAGCCAUACUAUCCUCCACACACACCAGUUUACAAGUCGCCACCACCACCUACUCCCGUUUACAAGUCACCACCACCACCAACACCCGUUUACAAGUCACCACCACCACCUAAGAAGCCACACCAUCCUUCACCAACCCCAUAUCAUCCUGCACCAGUUUACAAGUCCCCACCACCACCUAAGAAGCCAGACCACCCUUCACCAACACCGUAUCAUCCUGCACCAGUUUACAAAUCCCCACCGCCACCUACUCCAGUUUACAAGUCACCACCACCUUCAGUGAAGCCAUACCAUCCUUCACCAACACCAUAUCAUCCUGCACCAGUUUAUAAGCCUCCACCACCACCAACUCCUGUCUACAAGUCACCUCCACCACCAACUCCAGUCUACAAGUCUCUACCACCGCACCACCCCUAUCUUUACACUUCUCCUCCUCCUCCCUAC